ensembl:lncRNA
UGGUGUAUAUUAUAAAUUUCUUUGAUAAGAUGUAUUUUGAAUGUCUUUUAAUCUUCCUCCUCCUCUCCAAAAAAAUCAGAAACCUCUUUAAGAAAACAUGUAGGUUAUAUAUGCUAGAAUUGCAUUUAAUCACUGUGAAAAGACUGGUCAGCCUGCAUUAGUAUGACAAUAGGGGGGCCGUUAGAGUUGCUGCUAUACUGGUGGUAUGGAUUAUCAUGGCAUUGGAAUUUUCAUAGUAAUGCAGAUCCAAUUUCUUUGUGGUACCUGCAGUGUACAAAAUAAUUUGACUUCAGUGAGCAUAUUGGUAUCUGGAUGUUCCAAUUUAGAACUAAACCAUAUUUAUUACAAAAAGAUAUUAAUCCCUCUAUUCCCAGGUUCUCUUUAUAUGUUAAGAUAUAAUGGCUUUGAGAGGGGGAAAAAAUAAACCUAGGGGAGAGGGUAGUUUCCUGUAGUGCUGUUUCAUUAGAGGAUUUCAGUAAAUUAAAUUCCACAGCAAAUUCAAUAAAUAAUGGUACAUUUAAGUGUUCUGAUUUUAAUAAUAUAAUACAUUUCACAUUUAUCCACACAGUAACAAUGUAAUAUGUUAAUGUAAAUAAAAUUGUUUUUGAUACUCAGAAAUAACAAGAAUUUAAUUUUUUAAAUUUGUUUACAGUCCUGGGAAAAGUAAGAAUUAUUUGCCAAAAUGAAAGAAAACCUUAGUAUUAUUAAUGAGUUUACCAUAGAAUUGUUGGAAAUACUGAAGACAGGUGCAAUUUACUAAACUUUUGUUUUUAAACUAUUGUAGAGGCUGCAUUAGAAGAAAAUGUUUAUAAUGACAGAGCAACUAAGACUAUAUAAAAAAGCUGAAAUUAGAACUGAGUUUAGAAAUAGAUCAGUAACCCAGUGCCAAGGAUGCCAAGCUGCCACCAUGGUCUUGGCUCUCCCACAACCCAGUGUUUCUGGGGUAAGUUUCACAGUUUCUAGGCCCUAGAAUAGCAGGCAGUGUAAGCCUUUGAUAACUUUAGUUCAAUGUUUUUCUUUUUUUUGUUUGUUGGUUUGGUGCAUAUGAUAGUGGGUGUUAUGCUAUUUUGCUCUUCCCAUCAAAAUAAAGAAACUUCCAGAGGUUUACUGUUAAAAAUACUGAUAUUUCCAUAAACAAGUUUACCAAGGUGUAGUACUUCAUACCUCCUGAAAUGAUCAGCAUUGUCACAAAUCAAAAUUGAGCCGCCUUUGAAAUGCAAAAAUACCUUUGACUAGUAAGUACAUUCUAGGAGUUUGAAAACUUAACUAAGGUUUAAAAUUUACCUUGUUUAAAGAACUUCUGACUUUUGAGGAAAAUCGAGCUUUCCAAGUAGCUAAAAUGUACAUGAGAUAAACCUCUCACCACUAUGUGUCCCCUGAGAAAUGCAACACUUUUUUAGUCUUCAUACUUGUAAUCUAUAAAAGAAAUUCUGAAAUUUAGACCAAGUUGCCCAUUUUUUCGUAUUUGACAUAAGUUCUGUUAAAAAUAUUAUAAGUAAUUCGUUUCGGUUUGUAGAUGUUUCCCCUGACUUGUUAAAGAGGAAACCAGGAACUCAGUCAUGUUUUUAUCCUGGAUAAUCUACCUGUUAUGCCAGUACUCCCAUCCGAGGGGCAUGCACUUAGUUGCCAAGAUGGAGAUGCAGUUCAGUAGAUUUGGGGCAAAGUGGCUACAGCUCUGUCUUCCAUUCACUCAACACCUGUUCAUGACUGAGCCAGGUGCCCAGGACACAUCCUAAACAGUCAGCUUCUAUCCUGUGUCCUAGUCGGGGAGACAGAGUGCCAGCCAGCAACCCUCCCAGGUUUGUAGGUUUUAGGGGUUUUCAGUUUUGUUUGGGUUUUUUGUUUUUUGUUUUUGUUUAUACAUCCUUCCCCGACUCCCAGGCAUAAUGAGGCAUGUCUUACUCAAUGUUAUGCAAUGGAUUUAGGCAAAAAUUCAUUCUUAGUGUCAGCCACACAAUUUUUUUUAAUGCAGUAUAUUCACCUGUAAAUAGUUUGUGUAAAAUUUGACAAAAAAAAGUAUAUUUACUACACUGUAAAUACAUGUGAUGAUAUAUUGUAUUAUUUUGCUUUUUUGUAAAGCAGUUAGUUGCUGCACAUGGAUAACAACAAAAAUUUGAUUAUUCUCGUGUUAGUAUUGUUAACUUCUUUUUGCGACUGCGUUACAUCAUUUAAAGAAAAUGCUGUGUAUUGUAAACUUAAAUUGUAUAUGAUAACUUACUGUCCUUUCCAUCCGGGCCUAAACUUUGGCAGUUCCUUUGUCUACAACCUUGUUAAUACUGUAAACAGUUGUACGCCAGCAGGAAAAAUACUGCCCAACAGACAAAAUCGAUCAUUGUAGGGGAAAAUCAUAGAAAUCCAUUUCAGAUCUUUAUUGUUCCUCACCCCGUUUUCCUCCUUGUGUAUGUACUUCCCCCACCCCCCUUUUUUUAAGUAAAAUGUAAAUUCAAUCU